rnacentral:rRNA from 1 species
ACGGGCGAGUAACGCGUGAGCAACCUGUCCUUCAGAGGGGGACAACGGCUGGAAACGGCCGCUAAUACCGCAUGACAUAUCCGGAUGGCAUCGUCUGGAUAUCAAAGGAGAAAUCCGCUGAAGGGUGGGCUCGCGUCCGAUUAGCUAGUUGGUGAGGUAACGGCCCACCAAGGCAACGAUCGGUAGCCGGACUGAGAGGUUGAACGGCCACAUUGGGACUGAGACACGGCCCAGACUCCUACGGGAGGCAGCAUG